rnacentral:rRNA from 1 species
UAAAAACCCCGACUUCGGAAGGGGUGUAUUUAUUAGAUACAAAACCAAUGCCCUUCGGGGCUCUUUGGUGAUUCAUGAUAACUAUACGAACCGCACGGCCUUGCGCCGGCGAUGGUUCAUUCAAAUUUCUUCCCUAUCAACUUUCGAUGUUUGGGUAUUGGCCAAACAUGGUUGCAACGGGUAACGGAGGGUUAGGGCUCGACCCCGGAGAAGGAGCCUGAGAAACGGCUACUACAUCCAAGGAAGGCAGCAGGCGCGCAAAUUACCCAAUCCCGACUCGGGGAGGUAGUGACAAUAAAUACUGAUACAGGGCCCUUUCGGGCCUUGUAAUUGGAACGAGUACAAUUUAAAUCCCUUAACGAGGAACAAUUGGAGGGCAAGUCUGGUGCCAGCAGCCGCGGUAAUUCCAGCUCCAAUAGCGUAUAUUAAAGUUGUUGUGGUUAAAAAGCUCGUAGUUGAACCUUGGGCCUGGCUGGCCGGUCCGCCUCACCGCGUGCACUGGUCCGGCCGGGCCUUUCCCUCUGUGGAACCCCAUACCCUUCACUGGGCGUGGCGGGGAAACAGGACAUUUACUUU